AUAGUAUUUAUGCCUCUAACUGGAACGUACCUUGAGCCUAUAUGCUGUGACCCGAAAGAUGGUGAACUAUACUUGUGCAGGUUGAAGUCAGGGGAAACCCUGAUGGAAGACCGAAACAGUUCUGACGUGCAAAUCGAUUGUCAGAAUUGAGUAUAGGGGCGAAAGACCAAUCGAACCAUCUAGUAGCUGGUUCCUUUCGAAGUUUCCCUCAGGAUAGCUGGUGCAUUUUAAUGUUAUAUAAAAUAAUCUUAUCUGGUAAAGCGAAUGAUUAGAGGCCUUAGGGUCGAAACGAUCUUAACCUAUUCUCAAACUUUAAAUGGGUAAGAACCUUAACUUUCUCGAUAUGAAGUUUAAGGUUAUGAUAUAAUGUGCCCAGUGGGCCACUUUUGGUAAGCAGAACUGGCGCUGUGGGAUGAACCAAACGUAAUGUUACGGUGGCCAAAUUAACAACUCAUGCAGAAACCAUGAAAGGCGUUGGUUGCUUAAAACAGCAGGACGGUGAUCAUGGAAGUCGAAAUCCGCUAAGGAGUGUGUAACAACUCACCUGCCGAAGCAACUAGCCCUUAAAAUGGAUGGCGCUUAAAUUGUAUACCUAUACAUUACCGCUAAAGUAGAUGAUUUAUAUUACUCGUGAUAUAAAUUUUGAAACUUUAGUGAGUAGGAAGGUACAAUGGUA
rnacentral:ncRNA from 1 species